UGAGCUGGGCUGAACUGGGCUGAACUAGGUGAGCUGAGCUGAACUAGGCUGAGCUGGGUUCAAUUAGGCUAGGCUGAGCUAAGCGGGGAUAAACUGGGCUGAGCUGGGCUGAGCUGGGCUGAGCUGGGCUGAGCUGGGUGAACUGAGCUGAAAUGGGCUGAACUGGGUUGAACUGGCCUAGGUUGGGCUGAGCAGGGUUGAGCUGGCCUGAGCUGGGUGAGCUGGGCUGAACUGGGCUGAACUGGACUGAACUUGGCUGAACUGAGCUGGUCCAGGCAAGCUGAGCUGAACUGGGUAGAAGUGGGCUCAAUUAGACUAAAACGGACUGAGCUGGGCUGAACUGGGCUGAGGUAGGUAAGCUGAGCUGAACUAGGCUGAACUGGGCUGAACUAGACUGAACUAGACUGAGCUUGAAAGGUUGUUUCUGAGCCGUGAAUGAUGCUGGAAUUCUUGGCCUCCAGAGUAGAGGACUUCAAUCCAGGGCCAGUGAUGAGGCUUGAUCUCUCAGAGCUUUUGUGUGAUAAAGAUUUAUUAAAGUAUAAAAGAGAGAGAGGCAGCUUCUGACAUAGACAUCAGCAGGGGGCAGAAAGAGGGCCCCCCUGCUAGUCUUUAGGAAUGAGUUACAUGCCUAUCAGGAGGCUGUUAAUUGGAGAAAGGAAAUGUUUCAGAAGUCAGAGACUGGCACCAGGCCCCUCACCCACAGCACGCGUUUUGAGAUGACGUUGACACAAAGUGAGUCAUCCCAGGCCAUGAAAUGAUUGACAUGAAUCUUGAAGAAAGGCAGGUUUCCAAGCACAUGUGUGGCCUGGAUAACAUAGCUUAAGACAAUAUCUGCAUGGGUAAAAUAUACUGGUUUGUCAGGUUGGUCCUGAGUCUUACGUGGAACUGACUUGAAGACAGAGUAUGGAGUAAAUGCAUAGUUCAUUAACAUAGCUUAAGAAAGACGUUUCCAUAGGAAAAAUGCAUCAGUUAGCUCAAGGUUUGAGCAAAGUUAAGUUCAGGUGGAACCAGGUGUCGUCAUGGCGACACGGAAUUUUAAAAGAACCUCCUUCUAAGUUUGUACAGAGAAGGGAAGAACCUGAGGCCUGUGGUCUGCUUCCUCCUGCCGCUGGAGAGAGAGGAGAAGCGUCUGACCCUGCGGCCUGUUUCCUCUGGAGAGCCCUGGCCUUCCUGCCUGUUACCCUCUCAGUUGGUCUAAAGUGCGCUCUUCUUGGCUGAGCUGAGAUUAACUGGGCUGUACUGAGCUGGGCUGAAUUGGGUUGAAAUGGUUUUAAUUGAGUUGACCUGGGCCGAGCUGGGCUGAGCUGGGUUAAAAUGGACUAAUCUAGGCUGGGCUGAGCUGGGUUGAAUCUGGGUGACUGGGCUAGUGCCUGAGUUGACCUGGAGGCGUGGGUUGAGCCCUCCUGUCCAGCCAGAUAGCACCCCGUGUUUCCUGGGGGCACACAAGGGCCAUGCAGCCCCAGGGUGCACCUCUGACUCUCCCCUGUGCCUUCACCUGUUGACAGGAAGGGGACUGCGAAAACACAGGUAUAGCCCACGCCCUCUGUAGGGGCCAUCCAGGGGGCAGCCCUGAAGGACUGAUUUGUUACUAGGCUUGCAGCCUCAAAACCCUCGUAGUCCAUGGAAGCCAACUGCUGGUUUAGAAC
ensembl:lncRNA